UUGAACGCUGGCGGCAUGCUUUACACAUGCCAGUCGAACGGCAGCACGAAAGAGCUUGCUCUUUUGGUGGCGAGUGGCGAACGGGUGAGUAAUGCAUCGGAACGUACCGAGUAAUGGGGGAUAACUGCCCGAAAGGAUAGCUAAUACCGCAUACGCUUUGAGAAGGAAAGUGGGGGCUCUUCGGACCUCACGUUAUUCGAGCGGCCGAUGUCUGAUUAGCUAGUUGGUGGGGUAAAGGCCUACCAAGGCGACGAUCAGUAGCGGGUCUGAGAGGAUGAUCCGCCACACUGGGACUGAGACACGGCCCAGACUCCUACGGGAGGCAGCAGUGGGGAAUUUUGGACAAUGGGCGCAAGCCUGAUCCAGCCAUGCCGCGUGUCUGAAGAAGGCCUUCGGGUUGUAAAGGACUUUUGUUAGGGAAGAAAAGGAUAGUGUUAAUACCAUUAUCUGCUGACGGUACCUAAAGAAUAAGCACCGGCUAACUACGUG
rnacentral:rRNA from 1 species